GCAAGUCGAACGGUAACAGGUCUUCGGAAGAUGACGAGUGGCGAACGGGUGAGUAAUACAUCGGAACGUGCCCAGUCGUGGGGGAUAACUACUCGAAAGAGGAGAUAAUAGCGCAUACGAUCUGAGGAUGAAAGCGGGGGACCUUCGGGCCUCGCGCGAUUGGAGCGGCCGAUGGCAGAUUAGGUAGUUGGUGGGAUAAAAGCUUACCAAGCCGACGAUCUGUAGCUGGUCUGAGAGGACGACC
rnacentral:rRNA from 1 species